AGCCGCGGUAAUACGUAGGUGGCAAGCGUUAUCCGGAAUUAUUGGGCGUAAAGAGUGAGCAGGCGGCUAUUUAAGUCUGAGGUCAAAUCCAGUGGCUCAACCACUGUCCGCCUUGGAAACUGGGUAGCUAGAGUACGAGAGAGGUAUGUGGAACUCCAUGUGUAGCGGUGAAAUGCGUAGAUAUAUGGAAGAACACCAGAGGCGAAGGCGGCAUACUAGCUCGAUACUGACGCUCAGUCACGAAAGCGUGGGGAGCAAAUAGGAUUAGAUACCCUAGUAGUCCACGCCGUAAACGUUGAGAACUAAGUGUUGGGGUAACCCAGUGCUGAAGUUAACACAUUAAGUUCUCCGCCUGGGUAGUACGUUCGCAAGAAUGAAACUUAAAGGAAUUGACGGGGGCCCGCACAAGCAGUGGAGCAUGUGGUUUAAUUCGAAGCUACGCGAAGAACCUUACCAGGGCUUGACAUAUUGAUUAAGGCCGUAGAGAUACGGAGAUAAUAAUCUAUACAGGUGGUGCAUGGCC
rnacentral:rRNA from 1 species